GGGCCAUAGCUCAGUGAUAGAGCAACUGCCUUGCAUGCAGAAGAUCCCAGGUUCAAUCCCCAGCAUCUCCA